rnacentral:rRNA from 1 species
AAAUUGAAGAGUUUGAUCAUGGCUCAGAUUGAACGCUGGCGGCAGGCCUAACACAUGCAAGUCGAACGGUAACAGGAAGCAGCUUGCUGCUUUGCUGACGAGUGGCGGACGGGUGAGUAAUGUCUGGGAAACUGCCUGAUGGAGGGGGAUAACUACUGGAAACGGUGGCUAAUACCGCAUAAUGUCGC